CAACUAAUUAGUGCAUUUCAGAUUGUCUGGGCUGACAGCUUCCUUUGCCCCAUGAACAGCAAUGCUGGCAAGACUUUCCACAUUCAAAACACUGUCCUGACAAGCCGAGCAAGUGAUUCAACAAGCCAGCCUUUGAGAACUCCCAAAAAACCAGCCUGCCCAAAGUGCCAAGGGGCCAAUGGCAGCCUUCCAAAGACAAGACGCCAAUACCGCUUGCAUUCCCUGGUGGUUGUGAAACAUUGCCUGCUUCAACAGGGCCGACUGUGAAUCUGUGCAAGAAGCAGAGAGCGAGAGUGUAUUCUGAAGUUGACAGAGCUUCCGACAUCCUGAGCAAGAGUUGGCAGGAGUCAGACGGGGGAAGAAAGAAGGAAAGGAUGUUGCUUGUCAUGUUCUAAGUGAAAUCUGAUUGGAUAUUGACAGAUAUUUAGAGGCUACAGACCUGUAUGCCACACCAAAGAACAAGGAAGAUGGAAAGUGUCACAAAAGUCAGAAACGCAGAUGAAAUGCAUCUGGCCACUGAGGGUGGUCCUUUAUCCAAGCAGUGCCCACUCAGAGGUCUCUGAUACACAGACUGAUAAGCAGGACAGGUAUCAGAUCUUAGCCACCCAAAUACAGCCCUCCAGCACAGAAAGAGCCGCUCAUGCUGGAGGGGGAAUAGCACAGUCUGGGCCUCAGGAGCUCAGAAUGAGGGUACAUUUUGAGCCAAUUUAUCCCCUCAGCCAGUCCCCAAAAUACUUUUCAUUGUCCCUUGUUUCCUAAGAGACACAGUACCUGCCAUCUCCACUCUGUAGAUGGUGAACCUCAGGCCAGAAUUCAGUCAUGUUUCAGGAAGUCUUUGGGAAACCUAAGAAUAAAAUUCAUGUGUUCUCCAAGCUCACCCCUACCAAAGAUUUGCAUUAUCAAGAAUAUCAGAAGUACCUGGGUGUGAUGGCACACGCCUGCAAUCCCAGCACUCUGGGAGGUUAAAGCAGGAGGAGUACAAGUUUCAGCACAGCCUACACAACUCACCAUUUAACAAGACUCUAUCUCAAAAAAUUUUUUAAAACGGGAAGGGGCCAGGGGAUGUAGCUCAAUGUGAAAGCCCUAGGUUCAAUCCCCAGUGCUGAAAACAAAAGUCAGAAUACUACCGUAGCCAUGGAAAACAGCAUGCAAGGAAGUUCUGUUACCAGGUUCUGGGGACUUCUCCUAAAGAUUCUUUCUAUGUUCUUCUUGUCCUGAACAAAGAAUCAGACAAAACAAGUGCAAAAGGUAGCAAGGUUUUUCAUUUAUUAAGGGCAGGAAAAGAAACAUGCUCUGCAGAGUUAGUGUGGGCCAAUUAAAAGUAAGGAAAAAGUACACUUUACAGUGUAAGAGCAGACCACUGUGAAAGAGAGAGCACAGUGGCCACAGGAAAACGGCAGCUGUCUUUUGUAUCCCGCACUGCUCAGCCUGAAGUCAGAUCUACAUGGACGUAUCACAAACCUGUUUGAGUUGUCAAGAGAAGAAUUGAAGAUAGCACUCUCUGACUGAUCCCCCGUGUAGGGUUUUGAGAACUCUUUUUCUGCAUGUUUCCUAAAUCUCUGUUAUUGACAGAUCACAGCCGGGUUGCUCAGCCAGUUUGCCACACCCUCAUCUCCUGCCUCAGCUCCUCAAAAACUAGAUAUAAAAUUGCUGUCUGACCCAGUAAUUGCACUCUGGUUAUUUAUCAGUCAUCUUCUCGUUACCAUAACAAAACACCCAAGAAAGGCUAUUAGUGAAGUAAAAAGAGAUUUAUUUGCACUCAUGGUUCUGGAGGCUCAAGUCCAAAGUCAGGUAGCCUCAACAGUUUGGGCCUCUGGUGAGGGUGGCACAUCAUCACAUCACGUGGAGAGUGUAUGUUGGAGUGAGUAGUUCUGUGCUCCCGGAAGCACACAGGAAAGGAGAGUGAGGCUCCACAGUCCACUUCAGAGGCAUGUCCCCAGGCACCCAAGGACCCCCACUCUGCCCCCCAAUCCUACCUCCCUGGGGAUUGAACCUUUACAUGUGGACCUUUCGAGGGGACACUUUCCAUAUUUGAACUCAGAACCGGGUAUACAGAGGUUAUCAAAAUAUAUUGUGAGGGGCAGGGGGAAAGGAA
ensembl:lncRNA